GAUGAACGCUGGCGAGAUGCUUUACACAUGCAAGUCAUACGAGAGUUUUUAACUCAAGUGGCGGACGGGUGAGUAACACGUAAGAAUUUACCUUUAGGAGGGGGAUAACAACGAGAAGUUGCUGCUAAUACCCCAUAUGCUUUCGAGUGAAAUGGAUUUUUCCGCCUAAAGAGAAGCUUGCGUCUGAUUAGCUUGUUGGUAAGGUAAUGGCUUACCAAGGCGACGAUCAGUAUCUGGUUUGAGAGGAUGAUCAGACACACUGGAACUGAGACACGGUCCAGACUCCUACGGGAGGCAGCAGUGGGGAAUUUUCCGCAAUGGGCGAAAGCCUGACGGAGCAAUCUCGCGUGAGGGAUGACGGCCUAUGGGUUGUAAACCUCUUCUUUCAGGGAGGAAUCAAAUGACGUGUACCUGGAGAAUAAGCAUCGGCUAACUCCGUGCCAGCAGCCGCGGUAAG
rnacentral:rRNA from 1 species